rnacentral:rRNA from 1 species
CCCUGGCUCAGGACGAACGCUGGCGGCGUGCUUAAUACAUGCAAGUCGAGCGAAUCAAUAGGAGCUUGCUCCUGUUGAUUAGCGGCGGACGGGUGAGUAACACGUGGGCAACCUGCCUGUAAGACUGGGAUAACACCGGGAAACCGGUGCUAAUACCGGAUAAUCCUUUUCCUCUCAUGAGGAAAAGCUGAAAGUCGGUUUCGGCUGACACUUACAGAUGGGCCCGCGGCGCAUUAGCUAGUUGGUGAGGUAACGGCUCACCAAGGCGACGAUGCGUAGCCGACCUGAGAGGGUGAUCGGCCACACUGGGACUGAGACACGGCCCAGACUCCUACGGGAGGCAGCAGUAGGGAAUCUUCCACAAUGGACGAAAGUCUGAUGGAGCAACGCCGCGUGAGCGAUGAAGGCCUUCGGGUCGUAAAGCUCUGUUGUUAGGGAAGAACAAGUACCGGAGUAACUGCCGGUACCUUGACGGUACCUAA